rnacentral:rRNA from 1 species
GACGAACGCUGGCGGCGUGCUUAACACAUGCAAGUCGAACGGAAAGGCCCUGCUUGCAGGGUACUCGAGUGGCGAACGGGUGAGUAACACGUGGGUGAUCUGCCCUGCACUUCGGGAUAAGCUUGGGAAACUGGGUCUAAUACCGGAUAGGAACCAUCUUUAGUGUGGUGGUUGGAAAGUUUUUUCGGUGUAGGAUGAGCUCGCGGCCUAUCAGCUUGUUGCUGGGGUAAUGGCCUACCAAGGCGGCGACGGGUAGCCGGCCUGAGAGGGUGUACGGCCACAUUGGGACUGAGAUACGGCCCAGACUCCUACGGGAGGCAGCAGUGGGGAAUAUUGCACAAUGGGCGCAAGCCUGAUGCAGCGACGCCGCGUGGGGGAUGAAGGCCUUCGGGUUGUAAACUCCUUUCGCUAGGGACGAAGCUUUGUUGUGACGGUACCUAGAUAAGAAGCACCGGCUAACUACGUG